GCAAGUCGAGGGGUAACAGGGAAGCUUGCUUCUGCUGACGACCGGCGAACGGGUGCGUAACGCGUAUGCAACCUACCUUAUACAGGAGGAUAGCCCGAAGAAAUUCGGAUUAAUACUCCAUUGUACAAUUGGAUCGCAUGGUUCGAUUGUUAAAGCUUUGGCGGUAUAAGAUGGGCAUGCGUGACAUUAGCUAGUUGGUAAGGUAACGGCUUACCAAGGCUACGAUGUCUAGGGGUUCUGAGAGGAUUAUC
rnacentral:rRNA from 1 species